GCUGCUGCGGAGGAGCUGCUUCCCUUCCUCGACUCCCGGCGGCGGCGGCAGCGGCGGCGGCGCGGAGCGGGUGGAGGGUGCGCGGGGGCCCGGGGCGCGCGGACGGCGGCCCGAGCGCGAGCCGUAUGCGUGCAUGGAUCCGAGCGCCGCGCUGCACCGGCGGCCCGCGGGCGGCGGCCUGGGCGCGGUCUCCCCGGCGCUGUCCGGCGGCCAGGCCCGUCGGAGGAAGCAGCCCCCCAGGCCGGCCGACUUCAAGCUGCAGGUCAUCAUCAUCGGCUCCCGCGGCGUGGGCAAGACCAGCCUGAUGGAGCGCUUCACCGACGACACGUUCUGCGAGGCCUGCAAGUCCACCGUGGGUGUUGACUUUAAAAUCAAGACUGUAGAACUAAGAGGGAAGAAAAUUAGAUUACAGAUCUGGGACACAGCAGGGCAGGAGCGAUUCAACAGCAUUACCUCAGCCUAUUACAGAAGUGCCAAGGGGAUCAUACUCGUGUAUGACAUCACCAAGAAAGAGACGUUCGAUGACUUGCCAAAGUGGAUGAAGAUGAUCGAUAAGGUAAGCGUCA
rnacentral:lncRNA from 1 species